GAGAGAGAUGUGACCAACGGACAUGUUCUUAACCUCAUUUCUCUCUAUAAAUCCAAGUAUGCUAGGGUUUUUUUUCUUUCAAGGAGAGAAACAAAACAUGUUCUUUGUGUUUUUUUCUUUAAUCUCUUUUGCCUCAUUUUUUUUUUUCUCAGAAAUAAUCCCUGAGCUUGUUUAUCGUUAAAGCAAGCAAGUUGAUGGAAAUGGGUUGUCUUUGAGAGGAAUGUUGGCUGGCUCGAUGCGACAGCUUUGAGAUUGUAAAGUGUGAUCAAAGUAAAAGGUUGGAUAUGGUGAAAUUGCAUAGAAGUCUCGAAGAUGAGGGCCUUGAUUCCCAUGUGAAGUGAAAUGUAUAUCAUAUAUUGGGUCUUGGUUUUAUAUGCAUCAUUCAUUUUCUUUUUUUGUCUUUUAAGAAUGUAACUUCCGGCCGGUGCCCAGUAUGAUCAACUGAGCAGGGAAAAAAAAGUAACUGAUGUAUUAAUUCCUCUGUAUGUAUGUAUGUAUCUACGUACGUACGUAUGUUGCAUUACCUUGAUUAUAUGCUAGUGAUUUCAUACUUGAUUUUACUUAAAA